AUUGAACGCUGGCGGCAUGCCUUACACAUGCAAGUCGAACGGUAACAGGUCUUCGGAUGCUGACGAGUGGCGAACGGGUGAGUAAUACAUCGGAACGUGCCUAGUAGUGGGGGAUAACUACUCGAAAGAGUGGCUAAUACCGCAUGAGAUCUACGGAUGAAAGCAGGGGAUCGCAAGACCUCGUGCUACUAGAGCGGCCGAUGGCAGAUUAGGUAGUUGGUGGGAUAAAAGCUUACCAAGCCGACGAUCUGUAGCUGGUCUGAGAGGACGAUCAGCCACACUGGGACUGAGACACGGCCCAGACUCCUACGGGAGGCAGCAGCGGGGAAUUUUGGACAAUGGGCGCAAGCCUGAUCCAGCAAUGCCGCGUGCAGGAUGAAGGCCUUCGGGUUGUAAACUGCUUUUGUACGGAACGAAAAGCCCCGGGUUAAUACCCUGGGGUCAUGACGGUACCGUAAGAAUAAGCACCGGCUAACUACGUGCCAGCCGCCGCAGUAA
rnacentral:rRNA from 1 species